AGAGGAGGUGAGAGAGAUCGGUGGAGCAGGCAGGUGGCAUGGUGGGUAAAGGUGCUGGAUUCCCACACGGCCGACCGCAUUGCGAGUCCCGGACCUAGGGCUUGCUUUCUCACUUUCCCUCUCUCUGUCUCUCUCUCUCUCACUCACUCUGUCCCUCUUU
rnacentral:snoRNA from 1 species